UUGCGCUAGAUGUGUUCGUUGAUUGGCAUCUAGUGCGUGGUGUUGUUGCUACUGGAUUGAUCUAGUAUCUGCUCUUUUUUUUUUUUUUUUAAAUGACGCCCCCCCCCCAGAGACCAACACGAAGGGGGCCGCCGGCGGCGACAGAUGUGUAAAAGAGACGGGUGCAACAGAGAGAAAACCGCCGAUGGCCCACGCAAGUGGGAUCAGGUAAGGGUGAAAGGGUGCGGUAAGAGCGCACCGCGCGGCUGGUAACAGUCCGUGGCACGGUAAACUCCACCCGGAGCAAGGCCAAAUAGGGGUUCAUAAGGUACGGCCCGUACUGAACCCGGGUAGGCUGCUUGAGCCAGUGAGCGAUUGCUGGCCUAGAUGAAUGACUGUCCACGACAGAACCCGGCUUAUCGGUCAGUUUCACUU
rnacentral:RNase_P_RNA from 1 species